CAGUAGCCGCGGUAAUACGUAUGGGGCAAGCGUUGUCCGGAAUUAUUGGGCCUAAAGCGCGCGCAGGCGGUUUUUUAAGUCUGGUGUCUAAGUGCGGGGCUCAACCCCGUGACGCACUGGAAACUGGGAGACUUGAGUGCAGAAGAGGAGAGCGGAAUUCCACGUGUAGCGGCGAAAUGCGUAGAGAUGUGGAGGAACACCAGUGGCGAAGGCGGCUCUCUGGACUGUAACUGACGCUGAGGCGCGAAAGCGUGGGGAGCAAACAGGAUUAGAUACCCCCGUAGUCCCUGUCUCUUAUACC
rnacentral:rRNA from 1 species